rnacentral:rRNA from 1 species
UCAGAACGAACGCUGGUGGCGUGCCUUAUACAUGCAAGUCGAGCGAGGACGCAGCAAUGCGAGCCGAGCGGCGAACGGGUGAGUAACGCGUGAGCAACCUGCCCCGGAGUCCGGAAUAGCCCUUCCAACGGAGGAUUAAUGCCGGAUGACGAGGAGCACCGAGUGGUGCUUUUUCCAAAGCCUAGGCGCUUCGGGAGGGGCUCGCGUCCGAUUAGCUAGUUGGCGGGGCAGCGGCCCACCAAGGCGACGAUCGGUAGCCGGCCUGAGAGGGCGAACGGCCACAAUGGGACUGAGAUACGGCCCAUACUCCUACGGGAGGCAGCAGUAGGGAAUAUUGCGCAAUGGGGGGAACCCUGACGCAGCAACGCCAACCGUGUGGGACGACGCCUUUCGGGGUGUAAACCACUGUCAGCGGGGACUAGCCCGCGGAGCAAUCCGCGCCGAAUGUACCCGCAGAGGAAGCACCGGCAAACUUCGUGCCAGCCGCUGC